AUUGAACGCUGGCGGCAGGCCUAACACAUGCAAGUCGAACGAGUGGCGGACGGGUGAGUAAUGUCUGGGAAACUGCACGAUGGAGGGGGAUAACUACUGGAAACGGUAGCUAAUACAGCAUACCAUCAGAUGUGCCCAGAUGGGAUUAGCUCGUAGGUGGGGUAACGGUUCACCAAGGCGACGAUCCCUAGCUGGUCUGAUGGGAUGACCAGCCACACUGGAACUUAGACACGGUCCAGACUCCUACGGGAGGCAGCAGUGGGGAAUAGUGCACAAUGGGCGCAAUCCUGAUGCAGCCAUGCCGCGUGUAUGAAGAAGGCCUUCGGGUUGUAAAGUACUUUCAGCGAGGAGGCGUUACUCGCAGAAGAAGCACCGGCUAACUCCGUGCCAGCAGCCGCGGUAAUAC
rnacentral:rRNA from 1 species